AAAUGAUAAAGUAGCAACGAUAUGAUGGUAAUUAUCGAGGUAAACGAGCUGGUACGAGCAUAAUUAGUUCCAACACUUGUAGCGAGGUGGCGUGUUAGACGCGUACAAUUAGACAAUUGCUUGGAUUGGUUAUUGAGAGGAGUGUUCUCGAAGGAAGAGAAGAAAAAGUAUAAAGAAGAUUGUAGAUAAGAAAAACGGGCUCGAUCAUCGAAGGCAUUAAAACGGUGAAUCUGUAUAGUUUACGGCAAUGUAAUAACACUUUCGGUAACCGCUAAACAGUUUGCUAUCCGCGGUAAUUAAGUCGUUUCCGGGCAUGGUUUAGAAAAGUGGUUGAACGUGUCUAUUUCACUGGAAGGAAAAACAAGCGUCGAUUCAACCAAAAAAAUCCGAACGAGGUGCAAGUUUGCGCGUAAAUCCACCAUCUCCUUCCGUACUUGAGAGAAACCGUUACGAAAGUGGGUAAUAGGCGUUGUAAUAGAUAUUAUCUUGCUUGAUAGGUGUCGAUAUCGUGGCGGCGAAAGAUCGAAAUCAUGGUGUCUUCCUUGAGAUCGUCCCCAUAUUUCCGGGUUCUUAAGUGGAAACGAGACCUAGUAAUUUGAAUUUUAAAGGAAGAAUCUGAAUAUCUUAUGGAGAUUUUGUUUUAUCCAUCAUUAUCCACUUAGAUGUUUUUCAAAUAGUAAAUUCUAAAAGUUGAAAGAAAAGAGAGAAUAUUGAACGAUUAAUUAAUUGAUAGAUAUUAGUUCGAAUUAGAAAAGACGAAAACGAUAAUGAAAGUUUAUCUAUAGAGGUUAAGUUCAUCUUGAAGAAGAGGUUAAGUUGAAUACGAGAUAAAAUGCAUCUAAACAUGUAACAAAUAAUUCGAGUCAAUGUAAAUUUAUUUUAUUUCAAUUUUAAAGAAAUUUUCGCAAUAGAGCAAAAGUACGAAUCAUGUUGUUUGAGAUUCCUUGGUGAUUUAUCCGGAGAUCAAUUUUCCGGAGAUAAAGGAUUAAAGAUCAUUCUAUUAAAAUUCCCGAUUUCUCACCAAUUAAUCACCGAUUUAUUACAUCACGUCGAUAAAUCAACGUUCACAAAAGCGUUCUGUCCGUUUAUGACUAGUGAUUUUUGGUGAAUAAGAGCAAUACGAAGAUAAGAAGAAUUGAAGAAUGAAGGCAAAAGAUAUCGCGAUCGAGCGUUUAAACGUGUGCCAAAGAAUGACAGAAAGCGUUGCAUCCUUGAGAUGAACGUGCACGAAGGCAAGAUCGAUCAACGUUGUAGUUUUUAACCUGGACUGUACACUCGGGUUGCGCAGGUGUGACCGAUGGCGGCAUUCUUUGAUCCUGCAGGGACUCCACGGCUACCUUGUCCACGACUCAUCGGCCGCCUCUCUUUUUCGUCACUCGGUUCGAUUAUUUCCUAAUGGCUAACGCCAUCGCGAAAACGGCCGUCGCUAAUUUCGCCACUGUUUCCCGCCGCGUUCGGCUUCCUCUGCCAAGCUCGAGGAAUUGAUCGAGAUGGGCAAAAAAAAGGAUUGCGAGUGUGUCGCUGAAAACGAGCGCACGAUCAACUGUUCAAACGACUUUAUCGUUUAAGUACAGGUUGUUUCAAAAUCGAUAAUAAGAUAGUAGGAUAUAUAAAUGAUAGUUAUAUUUAAAUUAAGACAUUGCUCAUUUUUUUAAUUUUUGUAACUUCCUUUUAGUUCGAUAAUAAUUCAAAAGAUCGGAAUUAUGACAUUGUAGAGAGCAACAGAUGUCUUUUUUGUUCUUUCAUAUAAAGAGUCUCAAAUAAUAUACUAUAAAAAUAAAAAAAUAAGACGUAAUUUUAAUGCCAAAAGAACUGUAUAAAUAUAUGUGUAUUUAUAUAUAAAUAUUUAUUAAUUUUAAAAAUUUCUCAUAAUUUAGAAAAAAUAAAAAAUUCAAAUUUA